CGGCGCUGUGAGUGUGGUGGUUCCGCAGGUUGCAGUCAGGCUUCGUACGCUAUUGUCCUUCCCGUUAGAGCAGCCAGCGGGUACAGAAUGGAUUUUGGAGGAGGGAGUCACCACUGGACCUCCAAGGAAGCCACGUGCAGACAUCUACAACCUUCGAUCUCUUGACGAGUUUAUUGUUGGCUAAAACCAACCAGGAUGAAUGCGGGCGUUGGAAGUAGAAUAUAUACAUAUACAUAUAAAAUUGGUUGGGAGCCACGUGUACCAGUGUGUUGAUCUUGGCUUGAUUCAGUCUGCCUAGUAACAGAUUUUGCCUUCCUGAGUUCCUCUAGUAGUGGCCACAAUUGCCAGAGAAGAUAGAGCAGGUCUCUCCCAGGACUUGCAACUCCAGCCUGUGUCUGCAGGGGGUGCUGUAGGGGCUGAUUUCUCCAGCCCAUGGCAAGAGGCCUUCAUCUUGUGCCUGGAAAGAGGGAAGUACAAGUUCGUCUGGCAGAGAUGG
rnacentral:antisense_RNA from 1 species